ensembl:lncRNA
GUUAACUCGGAGACAACCCUUAAUAAUACGGCACAUUGUGACCAAUAUUAUUUAAAGCGGCCCAUCCCAGAUUUAUAAUCCUGAUGUUAAACCCUGACUCGACAUCUCUCACAGCAUGAACCGUGAAGUUCAACCCAGGAAACUGCAAAAGCAGCAGGUUGAAGUCACACCCAAGUUAAUUCUUCAAUUAGCGUGAGCCAGAUAUUCCGGGAAGAUCGGAGGGCCCGCCAAUCGAUGUCCAAUUAGCGAGGCUUCGUGGCCCGGGGGGUCUGAGCCUGUCACAGCCUCGGCCAAUCGCAGCCUGCGUUAGAGGUGGCGGCUGCGUGUGAUUGGAGGAUGGCGACCAUGCCGUUCGUCAGCGAGGGAAAGUGUGUGAGCGUGGAGUGGGACUUCCUACAGGGACUACUGGCCAAACCCCCCACCCUGCCCUG